rnacentral:lncRNA from 1 species
UCAUUUGAUCCAUGGUACAAUUAUUUGUUGCAUAUCUUUUAGGUACAGUUUUGUUUUCUUUAUCAAAUCUUAGUAUUACACCAUGGAUCUUCUCCACUAUCAACCCUAUAGGAGAGAUUGGCCGCUAUGCAUGAGCUAGAAAAGUCCAUAAGCACCUAAUGCAAUUAAUUUUAGGGGCUGUAGAGAAGGUAAAGAGAUG